rnacentral:rRNA from 1 species
GAUUAACGCUGGCGGCGUGCUUAACACAUGCAAGUCGAACGAUGAACCCGGAGCUUGCUCCGGUGGAUUAGUGGCGAACGGGUGAGUAACACGUGGGUAACCUGCCCAUAAGACUGGGAUAACUCCGGGAAACCGGGGCUAAUACCGGAUAACAUUUUGAACCGCAUGGUUCGAAAUUGAAAGGCGGCUUCGGCUGUCACUUAUGGAUGGACCCGCGUCGCAUUAGCUAGUUGGUGAGGUAACGGCCUACCAAGGCAACGAUGCGUAGCCGACCUGAGAGGUGGAUAGGCCACACUGGGGCAGAGAAACGGCCCAGAAUCCUACGGGAGGAGGCAGUAGGGAGUAUUCCGCAAUGGACGAAAGGCUGACGGAGCAACGCCGCGUGAGUGAUGAAGGCUUUCGGGUCGUAAAACUCUGUUGUUAGGGAAGAACAAGUGCUAGUUGAAUAAGCUGGCACCUUGACGGUACCUAACCAGAAAGCCACGGCUAACUACGUGCCAGCAGCCGCCGUAA